rnacentral:rRNA from 1 species
AACGAACGCUGGCGGUAUGCUUUACACAUGCAAGUCGAACGAGAAAACCACUUCGGUGGCAAGUACAGUGGCGCACGGGUGAGUAACGCGUAGAUAAUCUACCCCAUAGUCUGGGACAACUUUUCGAAAGAAAAGCUAAUACCGGAUAAUAUCUAGGACCGAAUGGUCUCUGAUUAAAAGAUUUAUCGCUAUGGGAUGAGUCUGCGUACCAUUAGCUAGUAGGUAGGGUAACGGCCUACCUAGGCGUCGAUGGUUAGCGGGUCUGAGAGGAUGAUCCGCCACACUGGAACUGAGACACGGUCCAG